CAGCAAUCAAUUGUGGCAUAACAAGACGCCAACCAGUCCAUACCCAUUAUAACAUCAAAAUCUACCAUUUCUAACUCCACAAGAUCAGCCAUCGUAUCACGACCACAAACAGUUACUAUGCAGUUUCGAUAAACCCUUCUAGCUAUAAUAGAUUCCCCAACCGGUGUGGACACUUCAAAUGGCUUAACUAACAGUUCAGGUAUUCUUUUGAACUUUCCAGAAACCAAUGGAGUAACAUAAGAUAAUGUAGAACCGGGA
rnacentral:lncRNA from 1 species